CGCGAAGCGGAGCAAUCCGCAAGUAGAGUGGCGAACGGGUGAGUAAUACAUCGGAACAUUUCCAGUAGCGGGGGAUAACCUGUCGAAAGAUAGGCUAAUACCGCAUACGCCCCACGGGGGAAAGCGGAGGACCGCAAGGCUUCGCACUAUUGGAGUGGCCGAUGUCGGAUUAGCUAGUUGGCGGGGUAAAAGCCCACCAAGGCUACGAUCCGUAGCUGGUCUGAGAGGACGAUCAGCCACACUGGAACUGAGACACGGUCCAGACCCCUACGGGAGGCAGCAGUGGGGAAUUUUGGACAAUGGGCGCAAGCCUGAUCCAGCCAUGCCGCGUGAGUGAAGAAGGCCUUCGGGUUGUAAAGCUCUUUCGGUGGGGACGAAACGGUUCGUGCUAAUACCAUGAACUAAUGACGGUACCCGAAGAAGAAGCACCGGCUAACUACGUGCCAGCAGCCGCGGUAAUA
rnacentral:rRNA from 1 species